rnacentral:lncRNA from 1 species
CUGAAAAUAAUCCUCACGGAAUCGGAGGCCCUCAGUCCUGUUAGCUGUGCGCUAAGGGAAUGCUUGUAACCAAAGGAGAACAGAAAUGGCUCAGCCCUACUUUUUCAGUAAUUCCUAUUUCAGGCCUAAAAGGCAUAGUCUCUCAUUGAACUGAAAGACCCCCGAAGAGGUACUUUCGUAGAAGGAGACCCGCACCCAGGAAUCAGCGAGACCACGAGCUUGGAUGCAAAACCGCAAGAGGCUUUAUUGGAGAUACGGUUCUCCAUGGGCUCUGAGAAGAGCUGCCAUCUUCAGUUUGUCCCUGCAUCUAUUGUGAAGAUGGAGCCAUGCCUUUUGAGCUUUGGCAUACAAUUUGAGCAGAAACUGGAAGAAAGUCAUUCUACUGAAGUUUUCAUUGGUCUAGAGGAGAACAACAACAACAAAAAAGUGUGACCUUUUGUCCGAAGCCAAAUGUUAGAUUCUGGACAUGUUAAUAGAUGCCCAGCUCAUCACUGGCCUGGAAAGUUCCUUGAGAGCAGAAAUGGUUCCCACAUCCGAGGCUAUGCUGGGUAUAGAGGAUGCUGUGCCUGCUCCUGUCCCUCUGUGAAACCAAUAGCUGUAAAGAUCAGACCUGGAGACUCCAUGGCUGCCCCCUACCUCUGGAGGAAUAUGAUCUGGUGAUGCCAUCAUAAGGAUUUGGAAGAUGGAAGAAAGUGAGGCUACCUUAGGGGAGGCUUCAGCCAAAGAACCGUAGCAGUUUUGCCUCUUCCCUUCCAUUCCGGAGGUGGCAUCCAACAACAGGCUCCAAGCCUUGAAUGAAUG